UACGGAGGGGCUAGCGUUGUUCGGAUUCACUGGGCGUAAAGGGUGCGCAGGUGGCUGGAAAAGUUUGAUGUGAAAUCUCCGGGCUUAACCCGGAAAUGGCAUUGAAUACUCUUCAGCUGGAGGUUUGGAGGGGGACUGGAAUUCUUGGUGUAGCAGUGAAAUGCGUAGAUAUCGUGAGGAAGACCAGUGGCGAAGGCGGAUCUCUGGACAGUUCCUGACGCUGAGGCGCGAAGGCCAGGGGAGCAAACGGG
rnacentral:rRNA from 1 species